rnacentral:rRNA from 1 species
GAUUAAGUUAUUAAGGGCGCACGGUGGAUGCCUUGGCACUAGAAGCCGAUGAAGGACGUUACUAACGACGAUAUGCUUUGGGGAGCUGUAAGUAAGCUUUGAUCCAGAGAUUUCCGAAUGGGGAAACCCAGCAUGAGUUAUGUC